rnacentral:rRNA from 1 species
UACGAAGGGGGCAAGCGUUGUUCGGAUUUACUGGGCGUAAAGCGUACGUAGGCGGAUCAUUAAGUCAGGGGUGAAAUCCCGGGGCUCAACUCCAGAACUGCCUUUGAUACUGAAGAUCUUGAGUUCGGGAGAGGUGAGUGGAACUGCGAGUGUAGAGGUGAAAUUCGUAGAUAUUCGCAAGAACACCAGUGGCGAAGGCGGCUCACUGGCCCGAUACUGACGCUGAGGCACGAAAGCGUGGGGAGCAAACAGG